GGAACGGUGGCCGAGUGGACGAAGGCAACGGUCUUGAAAACCGUCGGCCCGCGAGGGCCCGUGGGUUCGAAUCCCACCCGUUCCG
rnacentral:tRNA from 1 species